rnacentral:lncRNA from 1 species
CCCGCCUCUCUCUCUCUCACUCUUCUCAGCGCUGCUCCACUAACCCUAAUCCCCUCCUCUCUCUUUCUGACUCUUCGUUUUCUCCACUUUCCCACCGCCCUCCUGCCUUGGUUACUCCACCGCCUUCAAUGGCGUCUCACCCUACCGUUGCUGCUACCCUCCUUAAAUCCCUGAUGCUCUCUCAUGCUGGGAUAACGGAUUAUUAAGGAUAGAAAGGCUCUGCUAUUCCUUUGUGGUUAAUUCCUUGAUAAUACGGGAUUCCCUGCGUGGGUGGUGGUAUCACCGGGCUUUCCUGACCAUCGGAGCCCUGUUUGGUGGUUACCUGAGUAGAUCUGAGCCGCCGGAGUUCUGUACUUGGCUCCUGCUGUUGGCGGUUCUGUUGAGAUCUGAGAAGCUGCUCCAACGUCCAUCCCUGGCCUUGAUCAUUCAGCUGCCGGAAGGGUUGCUGAGUACAAGGGGAAAAUCUGAGCCCCACAGUGUCCCGAGGACACCUUUUCCCCCUUUUCUCUGAACUCUAUCUCUUUCAUUUUUCUGUUCUUCUUUUACUUUCUACUGUUACUUGCCUUCUUUUCUUUUUGUGCAGAUCAGAAGAAGAGGAGUCAGGAGAAGAAGUCAAAGAAGAAGACGAAGUCUCAAGUGCUUGAGCACGAAGUGGGGAAGACAGGAGGUUCGGGAACCAAGUGGUGUAACCCUGGCUAGGCGAAGAUACCCAACAGUGGUAUCAGAGCCACGGUGACCUAGCCAGGGCACCCUCCGAACACAUUUUUCCCACCCCGCCGCCCUUUGGCUGCGCCGAUUCGCUCCCGACGAGCAAGGAAAGGGUAAGUCCAGCUCUUCCCCCCGGAAGAGUUCGGCUCUGGUAAAUUGGCUUUCACCCUGAAACUCCUAGUCAUUAGGAUUGGUGUUGCCUGCUGCUUUUCUUUUUUGCAUAUUUUUUUGUUUGGUCUUGGUAUCUUGCGAUCCUGCUCUUCUGUGUGCUUCCGCUUGCUGCCUGGUAUCUCGAUAAACCCCUGGCAUUCAAAAGCCAAGUGAGAUCUCCCUUGUAUUUUGGUCCAGUUCGUCUGGAUUCUCCUUUAAAGGAGUCUCCUCGUGCGAGUAUCCUGGAAAUCAAGGGAGAAAGGGGGCUAUCUAGAUUGGCUGUGUGUGUCUUGUUUCCUUGUUUCUGCUGUUGUUUUGAUCUCUCUGGUGUUUCUGUUUGCCCUGAAAGCUCUCUUGGAUUGAGAGUUUUACCCUGCUCUGGACUCAGAUAGUCCUUUUGGAACUUCUUGGAGGGACCAGUGUGAAUCCUUGCUCCACAGAUCAAUCUGUGCUGAGAUCUGGGCUCUUCCCUGCUCCUUAACUCCAGUAGUUUCCUCCUUAAGGUCCCUGUGACCUUUUGUUGUGGUGUUACUUGCUCUGUGUCUUGCUGAAGUGUUCAGCCUUGUUUUCAUCUGCAUUCAUCAUGAACAACAUGCAUUUGGUGCCAUUCAAUGGCAGGGAUGAUUUUCAAGAUUGGAAAACCAAAAUAGAAUGCAUAUUGGUCAAAGAGAAGGUUAAAAAGGCUUUGUUGACUAAAAUUGACAAAUCUGUGACUGAUGAAAAACUGCAUGAUAUGAAUGAUAAUGCUAGGGCUACUAUCUUGUUAAAUCUGAGCAGUUCUGUGGUUAGAAAAGUGUCUCAUCACUUAUGUGCUAAGGAUUUGUGGGAUGAUUUGAACUCCAUUUAUUCUACUUCAUCUGAGGAGUCUGCAUGGUCUUUACAAAAUCAAUUUAUGAAUUUUCAAAUGGAUCCUUCAAAGGAUGUUGAUUCAAACCUUGAUGAUUUUCACAAACUUCUGCAUGAUUUGAAAAUUGCUGGAGAUGACUCCAUUGAGAAAUAUGCUCCACAGAUUUUGUUAAGCUCUAUUCCUGAGUCCUUCUCUGAAGUAAAAUCUGCUUUAAAAUAUGGAGGGUCUAAGGUUUCUUGUGAAAUGAUUAUCAAUAGUCUUAAGACCAAAGAGAGUGAGCUUAAACUGCAAAAACCCAAGUCUCUUCAGGGUGAGAUUAUGUAUGUGAAUAAGGAUAAUCAGAGAAACCCUCAUCAUCAUUUUUCUAAGGGCCAGAAGUCUGAUCAUCAUAAAAAUGCAGCUUCAAAUGAACAGAGGGAAGAUAAUAGGUUUGAUCAUAAUCAGAAUCAAAAUAGGAAUCAGAAUCCUGAUCAGAAACCUAGGAAAGUGUGUUGGAAUUGUGGAAAACCUGGACAUUUCAUAAAUAGGUGCAAGCUGCCUAAAAAGAAUAAGAACUUUGUUCCUAAUGAGCCUAAACAACAUGCAAACAAUGUUUUUGAAGAUGAUGGUGUCUAUAUGGUUCAUGACUAUGAUUUUCAGUUCAUAAAUUACUCAAAUGCUGUGUCUAAAUCUGUAAGUUCAAAUGAGUGGCUGAUUGACUCUGGUUGUACCUUCCAUGUGACCCCUUUUGAGCAUAUGUUUCAAAAUCUUCAGUUGGUCAAGUCUGGGCAUGUUUCUUUGGCUGAUGGUCAAAGUUGUGAUAUCUUGGGUAAGGGUGAUGUCUGCCUGAAGUUUGAAAAUGGGAGUCUACUUACCUUAAAUGAUGUUAGAUUUGUGCCAAACUUGAAAUUUAGCCUGCUUUCAGUGUCUAAAAUUGCUGAUAAAAUGCUAAAUGGUUCUGUGAACUACUUGAGAUUUCAAUUUGAAAAAGACUCUAUGCUUUACUUUACUGCUCCAAGAAAGGGAGAUUUGUAUGCUGUAUGUGCUGAGUCAGUUCCUUUACCUGUUGCUAAUGUGGUCCAUGAGGACAAAUCUGCUCUCUGGAAUGCUAGAUUAGGACACAUGAGUAAUAAAGGCAUGGAAAUUCUGAAAAAGGCUGGUGUGUUUGGUAAUGAUAAAAUUUCUGAGCUUUCUUUCUGUGAACCAUGUGUGAUGGGAAAACACCAUAAGUCUGUUUCCAGUUUCUGUUCCUUAUCCUAGAAAGCAUGUUAGCACUGAGUAUUCUUGAGUUACUUGCAUGCUGAUGUCGUGGGGUCCUGCUAAAGUCGCCCACUCAUGGUAGGAACUUGUAUUUCCUAUCUGUCAUUGAUGAUUUUUCAAGAAAAACUUGGGUCUUUUUAAUGAAAAACAAGUCUAAUGUUUUUGAAAAGUUGUCAAAGUGGGCUGCACAGAUUCAAAAUCAAACUGGAAAGAGAAUUAAAUGCAUUAGAACUGACAAUGGUCUUGAAUUUUGCAAUCAUGCCUUGGAUAACUGGUGCACUGAGUCUGGCAUCAUGAGACAUAAGUCUGUUCCUUACACUCCACAGCAAAAUGGAGUGGUUGAAAGGAUGAAUAGAACUCUCCUUGAGAGAGUUAGGAGCAUGCUUGUUGCAUCUGGUUUGUCUAAACACUUUUAGGGUGAGGCCCUCAAUUCAUAACUGCUGUGUAUUUGAUCAACAGAUCUCCUUCUGUUCCCUUACUUGGCAAACUCCCUGAAUCUGUGUUUUAUGAUAAACCUAUACUGUUAAAGCAUUUAGAGUGUUUGGUGUGCUAGCCUAUGUCUCAAAAUGUUGGGAAACUUAAACUAGAGCUAAGAAAUGCAUAUUCCUUGGGUAUCCUGAAGGGGUAAAAGGUUAUAGACUGUGGGAUAGGUCAGUCCCUGGGUUCAAAACAUGUGUAAGCAGAGAUGUGUCCUUCAAUGAGCUUAACUUUCCUUGUUUACUUGAAUCCUCACAUUCUGCUACUCCAAGUGAGGUGGAGAAAAUGCAUGUUUAUGACUACAACAGGUAUGAGUUCAUGUUUACCUCACCCAUGGUUCCUUCUGAGGUGGAGCCUCAGUCCAAUGAUACCCAUGAUCCUGAAAACUUGACUGAGCAUGCUGAGAUUGACCACACUCCCAACCCUGAACCCAGUAUUGAUCUCACCAAUCCUGCACCUUCUGAUAAUAACCCCUUUGAAUGACUAUCAACUUGCUAGGGACAGGGAAAUGAGGAAUAUCAGACCUCCUGCUAGGUUUGUGACACACACCCAUCGUGCGGUGCGGGUAAAAUACUUGUGUAUGCCCAGUACAGACAAUACACGCUCCUACGUCCCACAACAAUAACUCAAUCUUAGUGGCAAGUGUAGGGUCGAAUCCCGCAGGGAGUGAGGAACCACGUUGUUCUCCAAUGACAAACUGAGGUAUCCCAAGUCUCAAUCUGUAUACUCUGCACAAGAAAAUAACAAGAUCAAUAAUAAUAAAGGGGUGAGGUUAUUCGGUUAGGUCAUAACUGUUGUUAACAUUCGUUUCGGUCAUAGGCAUACUGAUAAUCCGUCCAUGAUCCAUACAAACCCAAGGCGUGGCCCAGAGACAUUGGGGCGUUUCAAGGGGUUAUACUUCACAUUUAGGAUGGUUGAUCCCAUUGUGGUCACUUGGUCCGAAGGUCACACAUUCCCCGGUCACAAAGCAGUGCUUCACUCCUCCUUAGAUAGUAGUCAUACCCGUUACUCACCAAGUAUGACCCUCACCAACCUUCUCUCCCGAGGUCCCCAACUCCGCACUUUGAGUGACACAUGCCUCCUGGACACAACCAUUUCCGGCUUGUCAGCCGACCAGUCAUAGACAUGCUACAGCGCAGAGAUUGCUUUCCUCGUUUGAUAACCAUGGCUUUAUGCCUCGUCACAGUUGAUGGAUAGUCUCUAGAGAAGCCCAAGACUGAGGAAGGACAGUGUAUCCCAUCAAUCCUUUCCCCACCUUCUGGAUCUACAAUGCCUUUUGUUGACGCUGCUCAGCCACUCGGUCUUGGGUAUACUGGUUGUCACGCCCUGGUAUACCCUGGCCUUUGCUUGACAUGGACAGCGUUUUACCAAACGGAGAUCACCCGUUAGGCCCUACUGCCCAUGGUUUCGAACAGAUCCUUCCGGAACCACGAGAUUCAACCGAAAGAACAAAUGCCUCACGAAUAUUUACAUGUUAACAACAAUUAUUUCCACCCCUAAAACCUCACCUAAGGAAUUACUCACACAUAGCAGAAUUCAUAAAUUUGAAAUGAAUUAAACGCAACAUGAAACAAAAGGAAAUACUUGAUUAAGAUAAAGUAAUACCUAAGGCUACGAGCCUUGAAUCUUGUUCGAAUGAAAACACGACGGAAAAAUAGGAAAUAGACUGGAAUGUAAAUUGUUUUGGAUGCCACACACGACGAAUUAAAGUAGUAAACUAAAAUAAAACUCAGUUCAAAAGGGGUGCCAAGAGCUUCUUCACGUUGCACAUCUUCAACCUUUUAUACUGCCAAUCGGUGAAGGUCUAACCCUAGCUGCGCCAGCUUCAUAUCUUCAUCGAGAUCUUCUUUCCUUUUUUAGCUCAAUCCUUGAUUGAUCCGAUUGAAGAUAGCUUCCAGCUGCAUGUUGUAGUCAAACUUUUCCUUUCUCCAGAUUCUUCCAGCCCCUUCUUCGUUCUUCUCCAUCCUUCCUCCAAAUCUUCGGGAUUUACUUUCCUUUCUUGGCUUUGGCUGUCUGCUUCUCAUUGUAGUGGUCAGACGGAUUGCUUCAUUCGGUUUGACUCAUACCGGGUGGGUUGCUUCAGGUUCCCAUGCCCCAAGUUAAAUGGAGAGGUACUGCGGCCGAAGCUCCAUGCCGGUAAACAUGGCAUUUCAAUCUGGGCUUGGUAAUGCCCAUUCCAACCACAUUCUUUCCAUUUUCGCUCCACUGGACCUUCCUUCCUCAACAACUUCAUUUUCCCCUGGACAGACCUGAACUGACACAAAUAAAGAGAAAAAAUAGGGCCAAAUGGCCCAAAAGUCGAAGACGCAUCAGUUUGAUGAUUACAAUUUGUCUUUGUAUGCUUUCAAUGUGUUCAACAAUGUGGAUCACUCUGAACCAUGCUCUUAUUCUGAUGCUAUGAACUCUGCUGAGUCUGAUAAAUGGUUAGCUGCUAUGAAUUAUGAAAUGAAGUCUCUGCAUGAUAAUGAAACAUGGAUUUUAGUGAAGAAACCUGAGGACUGUUCAGUUGUUGAGUGUAAAUGAUUGUUUAAGGUCAAGCAUGAAACUGAUAACAUAAGAUACAAGGCUAGACUUGUAGCUAAAGGCUUUACACAAAAAGAAGGCAUUGAUUACAAUGAGAUAUUUGCUCCUGUUGUUAAAUUCACCACUGUGCGCAUUAUGCUUGCUUUAUGUGCUCAUUUUAACUGGGAACUCAAGCAAAUGGAUGUUACUACUGCAUUUCUUCAUGGUGACCUUGAGAAUGACAUUUAUAUGAAACAGCCUGAGGGUUUUGUGAGUGAGGAGUUUCCUGAUCAUGUUUGUUUGUUAAAGAAAUCUCUGUAUGGUCUUAAACAAUCCCCAAGACAAUGGAACCUCAAAUUUGACAAAUGCAUGCAAAACUUGAACUUCUCUAGAAGUCAAUUUGAUCAUUGCUUGUAUUACUCCAAAUCUGAACCUCCUGUAUUUCUGUUACUAUAUGUUGAUGACAUGCUUUUACUUGGUCCCUGUCUGCAAACCAUUGAAAAUGUGCAAAAAAGAUUAUGUGAAAAUUUUGACAUGAAAAAUCUUGGUGAUGCCAAGAAAAUUUUGGGCAUGAGCAUAGAGAGAAAUAGGGAGAAAUCCACUUUGCUGCUGCAUCAGUCUGAUUAUGUGAAACAAGUCUUAUUGAAAUUCAACAUGGAAAAUAGCAGAUCUGUCAAUGUGCCUCUUGGUUCUCAUUUUGAAUUGAGUAAAAAGCAAUGUCCUAAAACUGAUUUUGAACUUGAAGAAAUGAGAAACAUUCCUUAUGCCAAUGCUAUAGGUUAUGUCAUGUACUUGAUGAUUAGUACUAGGCCUGAUAUUGCUUAUGAUGUUUCUUGCUUGAGUAGAUAUAUGGCAAAUCCUGGCACCCCUCACUGGGAAGCUCUAAAAUGGUUAUUCAGAUAUUUGAAGUCUACUAUGAACUAUGGUCUGAACUUUGCAAAAGCUCAAGAUGGCAUUAUAUGUGUUGGCUAUGUUGACUCUAACUAUGCUAAUGAUAGGGAUAAUAGGAAGUCCACCACUUCUUAUGUGUUUACUCUGUGUGAUGCCUGCAUUAGUUGGAAAUCCCAAUUGCAAAACAUUGUUGCUUUGUCUACCAUUGAAUCUGAGUACAUUGCUGCAACUGAGGCUGAGAAAGAAGCCAUUUGGCUUGAUGGUUUACUGUCUGAAAUCAGAUUCAUUGAUGAUAAACCUAUUGUUUUCUCUGAUAGUCAAUCUGCUAUUCAAUUAUGCAAAAACCCUGUGUUUCAUGAUAGAACUAGGCACAUUGAUGCGAGAUAUCACUUCAUUAGGGAUGUAGUUGAAAAAGGUGAUGUUUUGCUUGAUAAAAUUCCCUCUGAAUUCAACCCUGCAGAUAUGAGCACUAAGUGUCUUCCAGUUGCAAAGCUGGACUCUUGCAUGGAAACUUUGAAUAUUGGUCCUGGAUGAUCCCUCUGUGUUUUUUGUGUGAUAAGUUCAGCCUCUGUGGCUGCUUGUCUCUUCCUUGUUUUUUAGUUUUUUCUUUUUCUGCAUGUUGAGUUUUUGUGUUGAGCUCUUGCUCUGUGUUGUCUGCUCUGCUCUGGUCUUUCUGCUCUGUGUUGUGUCGCGUGUUCUGCUCUGUGUUCGAGCUCUGCUCUGGGUCUGUCCGUCUGCUCUGGUCUGUAUGUUUUGUCUCUGCUCUGCGUGUAUGUUCUGCUGCGUCUGUUGUGUCUUCAAUGAUAACCUCUUUGGUUUGAGAAUGUGGUUAUUACCUUUGGGUUGGUCUCUGUGGUUUGAGAAUGAGUUAAAUAUUCUUAAUAUUUCUCUCACCCUCUAUUGUCUUGUCUUUGUGAUAGGAUGAUAGUAAAAAUUGGGGCUGUGAUGAUAACUCAAACUCAAUUGAUGGCCCUUCCAUGGUGACAGAAUGAUCAAUGUGCCAAAGGUGGAUAUGUGAGGUUGGCCCAUUUCUCAUUCUCUUCUCCUCUUCUUUUUCUUUUGUCUGGGCCAUCUCUUGGGCCCAGAACCGAGCCCAAUUCCCAAACCCUAGCCCACUCAUCCUCGGAUAUACCCCACCCCAGCCCCACUCUCUCUCUCACUUCAAUCAGCGCCGCUUCCCUUACCCUAAUUCUCUCUCUCCCCGACUCCUUGGCUCUUUCACCUUUCCACCGCCCUUUUACCUUGGUUUCUCCAUCGCCUUCAAUGGCGUCCUUCCUCCCGUUGCCGCUGCCUCCCUUAAAUCCCUAAUGCUCUCUCAUGUUGGGAUAACGGAUUAUCAAAGUAAGAAAGGCUCUGCUAUUCCUUUCAAGUGUGGUUGUUUCUUUGAUAAUACGGGAUUCCCCGUGUGAGUGGUGGUAUCACCGGGCCUUCCAGUUCACCGGAGCCCUGUUUGGUGGUUACCUGAGUAGAUCUAAGCCGCCGGAGUUCUGUACUUGGCUCCUGUUGUUGGUGGUUCUGCUGAGAUCUGAGAAGCUGCUCCUUUGUCCAUCCCUGGUCUUGAUCAUUCAGCUGCCGGAAGGGUUGCUGAGAACAAGGGGAAAAUCUGAGCCCCUGUGUCCCGAGGACACCUUUUCCCCU